UACAGAGGGUGCAAGCGUUGUUCGGAAUUAUUGGGCGUAAAGAGCUCGUAGGCGGUUCGAUAAGUCGGACGUGAAAUCUCCACGCUCAACGUGGAGGGGCCGUUCGAUACUGUCGUGACUCGAGUCCGGUAGGGGAGUGUGGAAUUCCCGGUGUAGCGGUGAAAUGCGCAGAGAUCGGGAGGAACACCCGUAGCGAAGGCGGCACUCUGGGCCGGUACUGACGCUGAGGAGCGAAAGCGUGGGGAGCAAACAGG
rnacentral:rRNA from 1 species